UUUUUUAAAAAUAAAAUUAUUAAUUUUAUUUGAUUUAUUUAAAAUUUUUUAAUUUAAAUAAAAUUAUUUAAAUUUGUUUAAGUAUAUUUUAUAGGAAAAAUUUUUUGAAUUAUAGUUUAUUAAUAUUGUAAGAGAAUUUUGAAAUAUUAUGAAAUUUAUUUAGUUGAAAGUAAUAUUUAAUUUAUGUACCUUGUGUAUCAGGGUUUAUUAAAAUUAUUUCAUUUAAAUUUGAAUUUUUCUAAUUUAAAAGAUCUAAAUAUUUAUGAUUUUUAUUGUGUCAUUAAUAUCUUAAAUUUAUAUUUAGUAAUGAAAUGUUAUUCGUUUUUAAAGUUAUUUAAUUUUUUAAUAAAUAAAUUUAAUUUAAAUAUUAAUUUUUAAAUUAAUAAUUUUUUAUUAUUAUUUUUAUUUAAUAUUUAUAUUUUAAGGGAUAAGCUUUAGAAUAAAUUAUUAUAAUAUUUUAAUGGUUUAAUAAUUAUUUGUGUUUAAUAUUUUAUAGUCUUAAAAAUAGAUUUUAUAUAAAAAUGUUUUAAUUUAUUAUUAAUUUUGUAAGAUUUAUUUAUUUAUUUAAUUUUUUAUUAAAAUUUUUAAUUUAAUAAUUAUAUUUAAUUAAAAAUGAUAAAAUUAGUAUAUUAUAUUAUUUAUUUAAUUAUAAAAUAAUUUUUAGGUUAAAUUAAGGAAUUCGGCAAAAUUUUUAUAUUUGCUUGUUUAACAAAAACAUCGUUUUUUGAAUAUAAUUUAAAAUUUAAUCUGCUCAAUGAAUUUAUUAAUUUAAAUAGCCGCAGUAUUUUGACUGUGCAAAGGUAGCAUAAUAAUUAGUCUUUUAAUUGAAGGCUGGAAUGAAAGAUUUGACAAGAUAUAAACUGUCUUAAUUUAAAUUUAAAUUGAAUUUAAUUUUUAAGUUAAAAAGCUUAAAUUUUUUUAAAGGACGAGAAGACCCUAUAGAGUUUUAUAUUUUUUUUUUAUUUAAUAAUUUAAAAUUUAUUUUAAAUAAAAAAAAAUAUUUUGUUGGGGUGAUAGAGAAAUUUAAUAAACUUUUUUAUAAAUUUUACAUUUAUUAAUGAAUUUUUGAUCCUAUUUUUUGGAUUAAUAGAUUAAGUUACCUUAGGGAUAACAGCGUAAUUUUUUUUAGAGUUCUUAUCGAUUUAAGAGAUUGCGACCUCGAUGUUGGAUUAAAAUUUAAUUUAGGUGAAGAAGCUUAAAAUUUAGGUCUGUUCGACCUUUAAAAUUUUACAUGAUCUGAGUUCAAACCGGUGUAAGCCAGGUUGGAUUCUAUCCUUAAAAUAUAUUAAGUUUUUAGUACGAAAGGAAUUAAAUUUAGAUUUGUAAUUUUUAUAAAUGAUUAAAAUUAAUAUUUAAA
rnacentral:rRNA from 1 species